rnacentral:rRNA from 1 species
CCUACGGGGGGCAGCAGUGGGGAAUAUUGCGCAAUGGGCGAAAGCCUGACGCAGCGACGCCGCGUGAGGGAUGAAGGUCUUCGGAUCGUAAACCUCUGUCAGCAGGGAAGAACGGUCACUGUGCUAAGCAGCAGUGAAUUGACGGUACCUGCAAAGGAAGCACCGGCUAACUCCGUGCCAGCAGCCGCGGUAAUACGGAGGGUGCGAGCGUUAAUCGGAAUUACUGGGCGUAAAGCGCUCGUAGGCGGUAUGUCAAGUCAAGGGUGAACUCCCCGCGCUCAACGUGGGAACUGCCUUUGAAACUGGCAAACUGGAGUGUGUGAGAGGGUAGUGGAAUUCCAGGUGUAGGAGUGAAAUCCGUAGAUAUCUGGAGGAACAUCAGUGGCGAAGGCGACUCUCUGGCACAUACCUGACGCUGCGGAGCGACCGCGUGGGUAGCAAACAGGAUUAGAUACCCGAGUAGUC